AUUGAACGCUGGCGGCAUGCCUUACACAUGCAAGUCGAACGGUAACGGGCCUUCGGGUGCCGACGAGUGGCGAACGGGUGAGUAAUACAUCGGAACGUGCCCGAUCGUGGGGGAUAACGAGGCGAAAGCUUUGCUAAUACCGCAUACGAUCUACGGAUGAAAGCAGGGGACCGCAAGGCCUUGCGCGGACGGAGCGGCCGAUGGCAGAUUAGGUAGUUGGUGGGAUAAAAGCUUACCAAGCCGACGAUCUGUAGCUGGUCUGAGAGGAUGAUCAGCCACACGGGGACUGAGACACGGCCCAGACUCCUACGGGAGGCAGCAGUGGGGAAUUUUGGACAAUGGGCGCAAGCCUGAUCCAGCCAUGCCGCGUGCAGGAUGAAGGCCUUCGGGUUGUAAACUGCUUUUGUACGGAACGAAAAGCCUUCUUUUAAUACAGGAGGGUCAUGACGGUACCGUAAGAAUAAGCACCGGCUAACUACGU
rnacentral:rRNA from 1 species